rnacentral:rRNA from 1 species
AGAGUUUGAUCCUGGCUCAGAGUGAACGCUGGCGGCGUGGAUUAGGCAUGCAAGUCGAGCGAUCCUUGUUUGAAACCCACUAGAGUGCUUGCACAAAGGUGGGUGGAGAACGCUGGAUAGCGGCAAACGGGUGAGUAAUGCGUGAGUAACUUUCCUUUAAGACAGGCAUAGCUUCGUGAAAACGGAGGUAAUUCCUGAUAAUACCUUUUUAUCUUAUGGUAAUAAGGUUAAAGGCGGGGACCGAAAGGCCUGCCGCUUAGAGAUGGGCUCACGGCCUGUCAGCUUGUUGGUGGGGUAAUGGCCUACCAAGGCUUUUGACGGGUAGCUGGUCUGAGAGGAUGGUCAGCCACACUGGGACUGAGACACUGCCCAGACUCCUACGGGAGGCUGCAGUCGAGAAUAUUUAGCAAUGGGCGAAAGCCUGACUAUGCGACGCCGCGUGAGGGAUGAAGGGUUUCGGCUCGUAAACCUCUUUUGUUAGGAGAGAAACCUUAAGUGUUAAUAUCACUUAAAUUGACGGUACCUAACGAAUAAGCCACGGCCAACUCCGUGCCAGCAGCCGCGGUAAUACGGAGGUGGCAAGCGUUACUCGGAAUUAUUGGGUGUAAAGGGCAAGUAGGCGGUUUAUUAAGUGAGGGGUGAAAUCUUCCGGCUCAAUCGGAAAACUGCCUUUCAAACUGAUAGACUUGAGGUAGGGAGGGGGAAAUGGAAUUCCAGGUGUAAGGGUGAAAUCUGUAGAUAUCUGGAAGAACACCAGCGGCGAAGGCGAUUUCCUGGUUCUUACCUGACACUAAAUUGCGAAAGCUAGGGGAGCAAACAGAAUUAGAUACUCUGGUAGUCCUAGCUGUAAACGAUGAGCACUAGGUGUUGGUCUCUAGUGGCUCAGUGCCGCAGCUAACGCAUUAAGUGCUCCACCUGGGGACUACGGUCGCAAGGCUAAAACUCAAAGGAAUUGACGGGGACCCGCACAAGCGGUGGAACAUGUGGUUUAAUUCGAUGAUACGCGAAGAACCUCACCAAGGCUUGACAUAUAAGAAGUAGUGAACCGAAAUGGGAACGAGUCGUCAAGUCCGACAAUCUAUACAGGUGCUGCAUGGCUGUCGUCAGCUCGUGUCGUGAGAUGUUGGGUUAAGUCCCGCAACGAGCGCAACCAUUGCCCUAUGUUGCCACCCCUGUUACUUGCUUGCAAGAAACAGGGCGCACUCUUGAGAGACUGCCUGGGAUAACCGGGAGGAAGGUGGAGAUGACGUCAAGUCAGUACGGCCCUUAUGCCUUGGGCUACACACGUGUUACAAUGGCCGAUACAAAGGGUUGCCAACCCGCGAGGGGGAGCUAAUCUCUAAAAAUCGGCCUCAGUUCAGAUUGGAGUCUGCAAUUCGACUCCAUGAAGCUGGAAUCGCUAGUAAUGGGAGAUCAGCACGCUUCCAUGAAUACGUUCCCGGGCCUUGUACACACCGCCCGUCAAGCGAUGGGAGCCGGGGGUACCCGAAGUCCUAUGUAGAUAGGCCGAAGGUAAAUUUGGUGACUGGCGCUAAGUCGUAACAAGGUA